rnacentral:rRNA from 1 species
UACAGAGACUGCAAGCGUUAUUCGGAUUCACUGGGCGUAAAGGGUGCGCAGGCGGCCGUGUGUGUGGGGCGUGAAAGCCCGGGGCUUAACCCCGGAAUUGCACCUCAAACUACAUGGCUAGAGCAUUGGAGAGGGUAGCGGAAUUCACGGUGUAGCAGUGAAAUGCGUAGAUAUCGUGAGGAACACCAGAGGCGAAGGCGGCUACCUGGACAAUUGCUGACGCUCAGGCACGAAAGCUGGGGGAGCAAACGGG